rnacentral:rRNA from 1 species
UAUUGGUCAAUGGGCGGGAGCCUGAACCAGCCAAGCCGCGUGAAGGAGGAAGGCGCUAUGCGUCGUAAACUUCUUUUGUCGGGGAACAAAGGGCGCCACGCGUGGCGUUGUGCGUGUACCCGAAGAAACAGCAUCGGCUAACUCCGUUACAGCAGCCGCGGUAAUACGGAGGAUCCGAGCGUUAUCCGGAUUUAUUGGGUUUAAAGGGAACGUAGGCGGGUUGUUAAGUCAGUUAUGAAAGUUUGCGGCUCAACCGUAAAAUUGCAGUUGAUACUGGCAUCCUUGAGUACAGUAGAGGUAGGCGGAAUUCGUGGUGUAGCGGUGAAAUGCUUAGAUAUCACGAAGAACUCCGAUUGCGAAGGCAGCCUGCUGGACUGUAACUGACGCUGAUGCUCGAAAGUGUGGGUAUCAAACAGG